rnacentral:rRNA from 1 species
GGGGAAUAUUGGACAAUGGGCGAAAGCCUGAUCCAGCCAUGCCGCGUGUGUGAAGAAGGCCUUCGGGUCGUAAAGCACUUUAAGUUGGGAGGAAGGGCUUACAGCGAAUACCUGUGAGUUUUGACGUUACCGACAGAAUAAGCACCGGCUAACUUCGUGCCAGCAGCCGCGGUAAUACGAAGGGUGCAAGCGUUAAUCGGAAUUACUGGGCGUAAAGCGCGCGUAGGUGGCUUGAUAAGUUGGAUGUGAAAUCCCCGGGCUCAACCUGGGAACUGCAUCCAAAACUGUCUGGCUAGAGUGCGGUAGAGGGUAGUGGAAUUUCCAGUGUAGCGGUGAAAUGCGUAGAUAUUGGAAGGAACACCAGUGGCGAAGGCGACUACCUGGACUGACACUGACACUGAGGUGCGAAAGCGUGGGGAGCAAAC